rnacentral:rRNA from 1 species
UACGGGGGGGGCAAGCGUUGUUCGGAAUUACUGGGCGUAAAGGGCUCGUAGGCGGCCAACUAAGUCAGACGUGAAAUCCCUCGGCUUAACCGGGGAACUGCGUCUGAUACUGGAUGGCUUGAGAUUGGGAGAGGGAUGCGGAAUUCCAGGUGUAGCGGUGAAAUGCGUAGAUAUCUGGAGGAACACCUGCGGCGAAGGCGGGUUGCUGGGCUGAUACUGACGCUGAGGCGCGAAAGCCAGGGGAGCGAACGGG